rnacentral:tRNA from 1 species
GCCGGGGUGGUGGAAUUGGUAGACACCAGGGACUUAAAAUCCCUUGCUGUGCAAACGGCGUGCGGGUUCGAGACCCGUCCCCGGCA